rnacentral:tRNA from 1 species
GCUUCAGUGGCACAAUGGGUGAGUGCGUCUGGCUGUUAACCAGAAGGUUGGUGGUUCGAGUCCACCCAAGCA